rnacentral:lncRNA from 1 species
ACUCAUACCUAUUGCUGGCUAAGUAUGAAACCCAAUGGGUCACACACAAGAAAACUUAUUAAGGGUCUAAUUGGAUUAGAUCAUGUUUGCAAGAUAGACAUUCUAUCAGGUGUUGCAAACCCUUAGCUCUUGAUUCGAAUUGGAUUCGAAUCCAAUUCUUAAUUGAUCUAAUUUGAUUAGAUCAUGUUCUAAUAUCGGUUAGCCAAGAGUUGGCACCUAAUUGGCUUGGUUUGAGUCUAAUUGGAUUAGAUUUAAUAAAUUAUUCAAUC